rnacentral:tRNA from 1 species
GCGGAUAUGUUGAAAUUGGUAGACAAGCCAGACUUAGGAUCUGGUGCCGUGAGGCGUGUGGGUUCGAGUCCCACUAUCCGUACCG